CAACUACUCCCUCUGUCCCAAAUUUCUUGUCUUAGAUUUGUCUAGAUACGGAUGUAUCUAAUACUAAAAUGUGACUUGAUACAUCCGUAUCUAGACAAAUCUAAGACUAGAAUUUUGGGACGGAGGGAGUACUUU
rfam:Triticum aestivum genome assembly, contig: Triticum_aestivum_CS42_TGACv1_scaffold_531145_6DL